CGGGGGGCUGCAGUGAGGAAUAUUGCUCAAUGGGCGAAAGCCUGAAGCAGCGACGCCGCGUGAGGGAUGAAAUCCGUUAGGAUGUAAACCUCUGUGGAGAGGGAAGAAUAUGGCGCCUUGAGCGCCGUUGACUGUACCUUUUUAGAAAGCACCGGCUAACUACGUGCCAGCAGCCGCGGUAAUACGUAGGGUGCGAGCGUUGUCCGGAAUUACUGGGUGUAAAGGGUCCGUAGGCGGGUAAACAAGUCAUUGGUGAAAUCUCACAGCUCAACUGUGAAACUGCCUUUGAUACUGUUUAUCUUGAGUGUGAGAGAGGAUGAUAGAAUUCAUGGUGUAGCGGUGAAAUGCGUAGAUAUCAUGAAGAAUACCAGUUGCGAAGGCGGUCAUCUGGCUCAUUACUGACGCUGAGGGACGAAAGCGUGGGGAGCAAACAGGAUUAGAUACCCCGGUAGUC
rnacentral:rRNA from 1 species